rnacentral:rRNA from 1 species
UACGAAGGGGGCUAGCGUUGCUCGGAAUCACUGGGCGUAAAGCGCACGUAGGCGGAUUGCUAAGUCAGGGGUGAAAUCCUGGAGCUCAACUCCAGAACUGCCUUUGAUACUGGCGACCUUGAGUCCGGGAGAGGUGAGUGGAACUGCGAGUGUAGAGGUGAAAUUCGUAGAUAUUCGCAAGAACACCAGUGGCGAAGGCGGCUCACUGGCCCCGGUACUGACGCUGAGGUGCGAAAGCGUGGGGAGCAAACA